CACCGCGGUUAUACGAGAGGCCCAAGUUGAUAAAUUUUCGGCGUAAAGAGUGGUUAAAUGCCCACCUCACUAAAGCCAAAUGCUCUCAUCGCUGUUAUACGCUUCCGAGAGUAAGAAGCCCCACUACGAAAGUAGCUUUAUUAGAAUUGACCCCACGAAAGCUGUGGAA
rnacentral:rRNA from 1 species